rnacentral:rRNA from 1 species
GUACGGGAGGCAGCAGUGGGGAAUUUUGCACAAUGGGGGAAACCCUGAUGCAGCAAUGCCGCGUGGAGGAUGAAGUCCCUUGGGAUGUAAACUCCUUUCGAUCGGGACGAUUAUGACGGUACCGGAAGAAGAAGCACCGGCUAACUCUGUGCCAGCAGCCGCGGUAAUACAGAGGGUGCAAGCGUUGUUCGGAAUUAUUGGGCGUAAAGGGCGCGUAGGCGGUGCGGUAAGUCUUUUGUGAAAUCUCCGGGCUCAACUCGGAGUCUGCAGGAGAAACUGCCGUGCUUGAGUAUGGGAGAGGUGAGUGGAAUUCCUGGUGUAGCGGUGAAAUGCGUAGAUAUCAGGAGGAACACCUGUGGCGAAAGCGGCUCACUGGACCAUUACUGACGCUGAUGCGCGAAAGCUAGGGGAGCAAACAGGAUUAGAUACCCCGGU